GACGAACGCUGGCGGCGUGCUUAACACAUGCAAGUCGAACGGAAAGGCCCUGCUUUUGUGGGGUGCUCGAGUGGCGAACGGGUGAGUAACACGUGAGUAACCUGCCCUUGACUUUGGGAUAACUUCAGGAAACUGGGGCUAAUACCGGAUAGGAGCUCCUGCUGCAUGGUGGGGGUUGGAAAGUUUCGGCGGUUGGGGAUGGACUCGCGGCUUAUGAGCUUGUUGGUGGGGUAGUGGCUUACCAAGGCUUUGACGGGUAGCCGGCCUGAGAGGGUGACCGGCCACAUUGGGACUGAGAUACGGCCCAGACCCCUACGGGAGGCAGCAGUGGGGAAUAUUGCACAAUGGGCGGAAGCCUGAUGCAGCAACGCCGCGUGCGGGAUGACGUCCUUCGGGUUGUAAACCGCUUUCGCCUGUGACGAAGCGUUAGUGACGGUAAUGGGUAAAGAAGCACCGGCUAACUACGUG
rnacentral:rRNA from 1 species